rnacentral:rRNA from 1 species
GUCGAACGAUGAAGCCCUUCGGGGUGGAUUAGUGGCGAACGGGUGAGUAACACGUGGGCAAUCUGCCCUUCACUCUGGGACAAGCCCUGGAAACGGGGUCUAAUACCGGAUAUGAGCCUGGGAGGCAUCUCCCGGGUUGUAAAGCUCCGGCGGUGAAGGAUGAGCCCGCGGCCUAUCAGCUUGUUGGUGAGGUAACGGCUCACCAAGGCGACGACGGGUAGCCGGCCUGAGAGGGCGACCGGCCACACUGGGACUGAGACACGGCCCAGACUCCUACGGGAGGCAGCAGUGGGGAAUAUUGCACAAUGGGCGCAAGCCUGAUGCAGCGACGCCGCGUGAGGGAUGACGGCCUUCGGGUUGUAAACCUCUUUCAGCAGGGAAGAAGCGCAAGUGACGGUACCUGCAGAAGAAGCGCCGGCUAACUACGUGCCAGCAGCCGCGGUAAUACGUAGGGCGCAAGCGUUGUCCGGAAUUAUUGGGCGUAAAGAGCUCGUAGGCGGCUUGUCACGUCGGGUGUGAAAGCCCGGGGCUUAACCCCGGGUCUGCAUUCGAUACGGGCUGGCUAGAGUGUGGUAGGGGAGAUCGGAAUUCCUGGUGUAGCGGUGAAAUGCGCAGAUAUC